GCAGCCAGACGGUCUGUCGCUGGCAUCUACAGCAGUGGAUGAAAGAGGAAAGUCCGGGCAGCACAGGGCAUCCCACUUCCUAAUAUAGAAGGAGUCCGUGAGGGUUGAGUAAUGCAGAAGAAAAUAACCGCCUGUCUUUUUACCACAAGCGGAAUGACGACACACUGUACCUGUACAGUUUUCGCUUUCCGAUUGUAGUAUUCUUGGCAGGUAAGGGUGAGAAGGCGGGGUAAGAGCCCACCAGCGGUGUGGUGACACUAUCGGCUGUGCAUCUUGGGAGCUGCAAGUUCAUGUAAACCGGCGCAGAAUUGUCAUGUCUGUCAUGGACAUGAGGGAUUCGAUGAGGGUUGCCCGCCCAAGCCGGAGGGUAGAACGCUUGAGCUAUGAGGUGACUCAUAGUGUGGAUAAAUGACAGACGCUUGAUUCGGGCGAGAGCCUUUUCAAGUACAGAACCCGGCUUACAGGCUGACUGCUUUC
rnacentral:RNase_P_RNA from 1 species